rnacentral:rRNA from 1 species
AGUGGGGAAUAUUGCGCAAUGGACGAAAGUCUGACGCAGCGACGCCGCGUGUGGGAUGAAGCUCUUCGGGGUGUAAACCACUGUUGCCCGGGACGAAACUCCUCUUUCGAGAGGAUUGACGGUACCGGGUGAGGAAGCACCGGCUAACUCUGUGCCAGCAGCCGCGGUAAUACAGAGGGUGCGAGCGUUGUCCGGAAUCACUGGGCGUAAAGGGCGCGUAGGUGGCUUGGUAAGCGUGCGGUGAAAGCUCGGGGCUCAACCCCGAGUCGGCCGUGCGGACUGCCGAGCUCGAGCGUAGUAGAGGCAGGUGGAAUUCCGGGUGUAGCGGUGGAAUGCGUAGAGAUCCGGAAGAACACCGGUGGCGAAGGCGGCCUGCUGGGCUACUGCUGACACUGAGGCGCGACAGCGUGGGGAGCAAACAGGAUUAGAUACCCUGGUAGUCCACGCCGUAAACGAUGGGUACUAGGUGUCUGGGGGAACGACCCCCUGGGUGCCGGCGCUAACGCAUGAAGUACCCCGCCUGGGGAGUACGGCCGCAAGGCUGAAACUCAAAGGAAUUGACGGGGGCCCGCACAAGCGGUGGAGCAUGUGGUUUAAUUCGACGCAACGCGAAGAACCUUACCUGGGCUUGACAUGCUGGAGAAAGCUUGCAGAAACGUGAGCCCCUCUUCGGAGUUCCAGCACAGAUGCUGCAUGGCUGUCGUCAGCUCGUGUCGUGAGAUGUUGGGUUAAGUCCCGCAACGAGCGCAACCCUCACCUCCAGUUACCAGCGGGUAAUGCCGGGGACUCUGGAGGGACUGCCGGUGCCAAACCGGAGGGAGGUGGGGACGACGUCAAGUCAUCAUGGCUCUUACGUCCAGGGCUACACACGUGCUACAAUGGCGGAGACAGAGGGUCGCGAACUCGCGAGAGUGAGCCAAUCCCCAAACUCCGCCUCAGUUCGGAUUGUAGUCUGCAACUCGACUACAUGAAGCUGGAAUCGCUAGUAAUCGUGGAUCAGCUACGCCACGGUGAAUACGUUCCCGGGCC